rnacentral:rRNA from 1 species
UACAGAGGUCUCAAGCGUUGUUCGGAUUCAUUGGGCGUAAAGGGCGCGUAGGCGGCCUUCUAAGUCGAACGUGAAAUCCCCGGGCUCAACCCGGGAACUGCGUCCGAUACUGGAAGGCUUGAAUCCGGGAGAGGGAUGUGGAAUUCCAGGUGUAGCGGUGAAAUGCGUAGAUAUCUGGAGGAACACCGGUGGCGAAGGCGACAUCCUGGACCGACAUUGACGCUGAGGCGCGAAAGCCAGGGGAGCAAACGGG